AAAAAGACCCAUAGCACCCUGAACGCGCCCAGCCUCAUCUGAUCUCAGAAGCUAAGCAGGGUCAGGCCUGGUUAGUACUUGUAUGGCAAAAAGACAAAUUAACAAGAGAAAAGUAUACAAAUUUAUUUA
ensembl:rRNA 5S_rRNA 5S ribosomal RNA